CGCUGAGGCGGCGGUGCGUGAGGGGCGCUGCUCACAGAUUCUCCGCUUCCCGGGAGCCGGGUGCUCUGGUGGAGGGUGAAACGUCCGCCGCUGUUCUCCUCUAGAUCAAGUGUGAUCUGUAUCUUCUUCAUCUCAAUGUUGUAUUUGUUCGAAGUUAAUGCUGGCCUCAGAAUAAAGUGUCAGUGCCCUCUUGAGGAAUAGCCUCCUUUACCUUACCUGUAUCUUUCUAACGCUAUGCAACAAACUUUCAGCAACACAGCUCUUAAACCAGGGAAAAGGCAUAUCAACUCCCUAACUCCAGAGUGUGACUUCCAGUAAGAAGGUGACAGCAGAGAUUGUCUCCAAAACCUUUUUAAGUGAGCUACAGAUGUCUUAGGCUAAGAAGAGCAAGUAUCCAAAUCCAAGAAAGCUGCAGAGGAAACUGGUGUGACAUUUGAAACUUGUUUGUGCAAGAAAAAACAGUGUGAGAAGUCAUAGUUAAAAGCAUUAAGUCAUGAGGAGAAUGAGAGACCUGAAUGAAAAGGGGGUGGUAGGUGCAUCCUCUGGGACCAGCAAGGAUCCCCAUCUCCAGCCUGUGCCAGCAGUGUCUGU